GCGGUCGGACAUAGGUUGUUUUUUGGACCAGGGGGAAGGGGGCCGACACGUGAGUAACUGCCCUCAACUCUGGGAUAAGCCUGGGAAACUGGGUCUAAUAUCGGAAGGAGCGCCCACCGCAUGGUGGGUGUUGGAAAGAUUUAUCGGUUUUGGAUGGACUCGCGGCCUAUCAGCUUGUUGGUGAGGUAAUGGCUCACCAAGGCGACGACGGGUAGCCGGCCUGAGAGGGUGACCUUUUUACACUGGGACUGAGACACGGCCCAGACUCCUACGGGAGGCAGCAGUGGGGAAAAAAGCACAGGGGCGCAAGCCUGAUGCAGCGACGCCGCGUGAGGGAUGACGGCCUUCGGGUUGUAAACCUCUUUCAGUAGGGAACAAGCGAAAGUGACGGUUCCUGCAGAAGAAGCACCGGCUAACUACGUGCCAGCAGCCGCGGUAAUACGUAGGGUGCGAGCGUUAUCCGGAAUUUUGGGCGUAAAGAGCUUGUAGGCGGUUUGUCGCGUCUGUCGUAAAAGUCGGGGCUUAAACCCGGAAUCUGCGGUGGGUACGGGCAGACUAGAGUUCCAGUAGGGAAACUGGAAUCCCUGGGUACGGUGGGAUGGCCAAUAUCAGAGGGAACCCCAUGGCGAGGCCGGGUUUUUGGCUGUACCGGCUUAGGAAGAAAGCCAUGGGAACCGACCAGAAAUAAAAUCCCUGUAAGCCAUUCCCGUAACGUUUGGGCCUAGGGUGUGGGGCCCUUUCCCCGGUUUCCGCCCGCAGGUUACGCCAUAAAGUCCCCGCCUUGGGAAGUCGGCCGCCAAGCUUAAAACCAAAGGGAUUUGCGGGGGGCCGGCACAACGGCGGAGCCUGCCGAUUUAUUUGAAUCACCCGAAAAACCUUUCCAAAGCUUUCAUGUUUUAAUCCGGAAAAAUCCGGUUCCCCUUUUGGGCCGGGUUCAAUUGGGCCAUGGUGGUUCCAGCGUGUUGUGAGAUUGUUGGGUUAAUUCCCCCAGAGCCACCUGGUCAAUUCGAAAAAGGUGGUCUUCCGCCCCGGUACCAGAGUGAGCAACCUCCUAAAAAAAGCUUCAGCUGUACAUGCCGGCAAGGGUUGAAAUUGGAGAAAAAGUAACCCCAAAAACCCGGUCAAGUGGAUUGGGUUGGAACUCCCCCAUGAAU
rnacentral:rRNA from 1 species